UAGAUCAAAGCUAAAAUUAGCGCUUAGCUGUUAACUAAGAGGUUGUAAGUAUAAUGCUUGCUGGUCUAG
ensembl:Mt_tRNA